rnacentral:tRNA from 1 species
UGGACUAUGGUGUAAUGGUAACACAACAGUUUUUGGAGCUGUUAUUCUAGGUUCGAAUCCUGGUGGUCCAA